AGCGAACGCUGGCGGCAGGCCUAACACAUGCAAGUCGAACGAACUCUUCGGAGUUAGUGGCGGACGGGUGAGUAACACGUGGGAGCGUGCCUUUUGGUUCGGAAUAACUCAGGGAAACUUGUGCUAAUACCGAAUGUGCCCUUCGGGGGAAAGAUUUAUCGCCAUUAGAGCGGCCCGCGUCUGAUUAGCUAGUUGGUGAGGUAACGGCUCACCAAGGCGACGAUCAGUAGCUGGUCUGAGAGGAUGACCAGCCACACUGGGACUGAGACACGGCCCAGACUCCUACGGGAGGCAGCAGUGGGGAAUCUUGCGCAAUGGGCGAAAGCCUGACGCAGCCAUGCCGCGUGAAUGAUGAAGGUCUUAGGAUUGUAAAAUUCUUUCACCGGGGACGAUAAUGACGGUACCCGGAGAAGAAGCCCCGGCUAACUUCGUG
rnacentral:rRNA from 1 species